AGAGUUUGAUCAUGGCUCAGAGCGAACGUUGGCGGCGUGGAUUAGGCAUGCAAGUCGAGCGAGAAGCUCUGCUUCGGUGGAGCGGACAGCGGCGAAAGGGUGAGUAAUGCGUAGUCAACCUGCCCCCGAGAUCGGGAUAGCUUCUGGAAACGGGAGGUAAUACCGGAUGGACCGAUGCUGAGGCCUCUCAGGAUCGGUAAACGGAGGGGAUCUUCGGACCUUCUGCUUGGGGAGGGGAUUACGUCCUAUUAGCUAGUUGGUGGGGUAACGGCCUACCAAGGCUGUGAUGGGUAGCUGGUCUGAGAGGAUGGUCAGCCACACUGGGACUGAGACACUGCCCAGACUCCUACGGGAGGCUGCAGUCGAGAAUCUUCCGCAAUGGACGAAAGUCUGACGGAGCGACGCCGCGUGGAGGAUCGAAGGCCUUCGGGUUGUAAACUCCUUUCAAGCAGAGAAGAAUAGCUGUUGAUUAAUAGUUAGCAGUGUGACGUAAACCGCAGAAGAAGCUCCGGCUAACCCUGUGCCAGCAGCCGCGGUAAUACAGGGGGAGCGAACGUUACUCGGAAUCACUGGGCAUAAAGGGCACGUAGGCGGUCCUGUAAGUCGAGUGUGAAAGACCCUGGCUUAACCAGGGGAACGCAUUCGAUACUGCAGGGCUAGAGGUCGAGAGGGGUGAGCGGAACUCCUGGUGGAGCGGUGAAAUGCGUAGAUAUCAGGAGGAACACCGGUGGCGAAGGCGGCUCACUGGCUCGAUUCUGACGCUGAGGUGCGAAAGCCAGGGUAGCGAACGGGAUUAGAUACCCCGGUAGUCCUGGCCGUAAACGAUGUGCACUAGGUAAUGGAGGCUGUCUAUGGUUUUCAUUGCUGCAGCUAAUGUAUUAAGUGCUCCGCCUGGGGAGUAUGCUCGCAAGGGUAAAACUCAAAGGAAUUGACGGGGGCUCACACAAGCGGUGGAGCAUGUGGUUUAAUUCGAAGCAACGCGAAGAACCUUACCUGGCCUUGACAUCCAUGGAUUAGCUUCCUGAAAGGGAGGUGACAGCUUCGGGUGUAACGUGAACAGGUGUUGCAUGGCUGUCGUCAGCUCGUGUCGUGAGAUGUCGGGUUAAGUCCCAUAACGAGCGAAACCCUUGUCAUCAGUUGCCAGCGGGUAAUGCCGGGGACUCUGGUGAGACUGCCGUUGUCAAAACGGAGGAAGGUGGGGAUGACGUCAAGUCAUCAUGGCCCUUAUGUCUGGGGUGACACACGUGCUACAAUGGUAGGGACAACGGGUACCGAAGCCGCGAGGUGGAGGCAAUCCUUCAAACCCUAUCCCAGUUCGGAUUGAAGUCUGAAAUUCGACUUCAUGAAGUUGGAAUCGUUAGUAAUCGCGUAUCAGCCAUGACGCGGUGAAUAUGUUCCUGAGCCUUGUACACACCGCCCGUCAAGCCACGGAAGCCGAGAGCGCCCGAAGUCGUUUGCCUAACCGUAAGGAGGGCGGCGCCGACGGCAAGCUCGGUGAUUGGGACUAAGUCGUAACAAGGUAACCGUA
rnacentral:rRNA from 1 species